GAUGAACGCUGGCGGCGUGCCUAAUACAUGCAAGUCGAGCGAACAGACGAGGAGCUUGCUCCUCUGACGUUAGCGGCGGACGGGUGAGUAACACGUGGAUAACCUACCUAUAAGACUGGGAUAACUUCGGGAAACCGGAGCUAAUACCGGAUAACAUGUUGAACCGCAUGGUUCAACAGUGAAAGACGGUCUUGCUGUCACUUAUAGAUGGAUCCGCGCCGCAUUAGCUAGUUGGUAAGGUAACGGCUUACCAAGGCAACGAUGCGUAGCCGACCUGGGAGGGUGAUCGGCCACACUGGAACUGAGACACGGUCCAGACUCCUACGGGAGGCAGCAGUAGGGAAUCUUCCGCAAUGGGCGAAAGCCUGACGGAGCGACGCCGCGUGAGUGAUGAAGGUCUUCGGAUCGUAAAACUCUGUUAUUAGGGAAGAACAAAUGUGUAAGUAACUAUGCACGUCUUGACGGUACCUAAUCAGAAAGCCACGGCUAACUACGUG
rnacentral:rRNA from 1 species